ensembl:lncRNA
GUUUAGCGAAGCGUACUGGGGCCGGUUGCACCAACUGGGCGUAACUAAGCCUGGUCGUAACUGCUAAGUAGGUCUUAGUUACGACAAAAAAAUAAAAUCAAAAGGUGGGCUUUUGGAAAAAAUAAGCUUUGUGUUAUGUGUGGGGCAGUUAGCUGAGUUCACCAGAUGUGUUUUGAUAUGGGUAGGUCAAAAGGUCAAGCCGCAUAAUAGAUUUAUAGCCUUUUUUAACAUUAAAAAAAUUGUAUAAAAUCAAAAGGUGGGUUUUUGGAAAAAAUAAGCUUUGUGUUAUGUGUGGGGCAGUUAGCUGGGUUCAUCACACGUGUUUUGAUAUGGGUAGGUCAAAAGGUCAAGCCGCAUAAUAGAUUUAUAGCCUUUUUUAACAUUAAAAAAAUAGUAUAAAAUCAAAAGGUGGGUUUUUGGAAAAAAUAAGCUUUGUGUUAUGUGUGGGGCAGUUAGAUGGGUUCAUCACACGUGUUUUGAUAUGGGUAGGUCAAAAGGUCAAGCCGCAUAAUAGAUUUAUAGCCUUUUUUAACAUUAAAAAAAUAGUAUAAAAUCAAAAGGUGGGUUUUUGGAAAAAAUAAGCUUUGUGUUAUGU